rnacentral:rRNA from 1 species
UACGGAGGGUGCAAGCGUUAUCCGGAUUCACUGGGUUUAAAGGGUGCGUAGGCGGGUUGGUAAGUCCGUGGUGAAAUCCCCAAGCUUAACUUGGGAACUGCCGUGGAUACUAUCAAUCUUGAAUAUCGUGGAGGUAAGCGGAAUAUGUCAUGUAGCGGUGAAAUGCUUAGAUAUGACAUAGAACACCAAUUGCGUAGGCAGCUUACUACGCGAUCAUUGACGCUGAUGCACGAAAGCGUGGGGAUCAAACAGG